rfam:Ficedula albicollis isolate OC2 chromosome 26, whole genome shotgun sequence.
CUGGGGUACGGUGACAUGUACCCCAAAACGUGGUCAGGGAUGGUGGUGGGCGCCCUGUGCGCGCUGGCCGGGGUGCUGACCAUCGCCAUGCCCGUGCCCGUCAUCGUCAACAAC